rnacentral:rRNA from 1 species
GUGUUAAUUUUAAUUUACCUGGGUAAUAUUAGUUAAGGUCUUUAAACCCAAAGAAUUUGGCGGUAUUUCAUUCCAUUCAGAGGAACCUAUCUCGUAAUUGAUAGUACACGAUUAACUUUACUUGAUUUAUUUGUUUGUAUAUCUCCGUUAUCAGAAAAUCUUUUUGGAGUUAUAAUUUUCCUGUUUUCUCAUUAGAAAUUAUUUCAGGUCAAGGUGCAGCUUAUAAUCAAGUGUGUGAUGGGUUACAAUAAAUUUUUUUAUUAUGGAUUUAAUUUUGAAAAUUUUUAAUGAAGGUGGAUUUGAUAGUAAUUUAAUUUAUUUAAUUUAAUUGAUAUUGGCUCU